UUAAGUUCCCCGCCUGGGGAGUACGGCCGCAAGGCUAAAACUCAAAGGAAUUGACGGGGACCCGCACAAGCGGCGGAGCAUGCGGAUUAAUUCGAUGCAACGCGAAGAACCUUACCAAGGCUUGACAUACACCAGAACACCGUAGAAAUACGGGACUCUUUGGACACUGGUGAACAGGUGGUGCAUGGUUGUCGUCAGCUCGUGUCGUGAGAUGUUGGGUUAAGUCCCGCAACGAGCGCAACCCUCGUUCUUGUUGCCAGCACGUUAUGGUGGGAACUCAUGGGAUACUGCCGGGGUCAACUCGGAGGAAGGUGGGGAUGACGUCAAAUCAUCAUGCCCCUUAUGUCUUGGGCUUCACGCAUGCUACAAUGGCCGGUACAAAGGGCUGCAAUACCGUGAGGUGGAGCGAAUCCCAAAAAGCCGGUCCAGUUCGGAUUGAGGUCUGCAACUCGACCUCAGAAGUCGGAGUCGCUAGUAAUCGCAGCAGCACGA
rnacentral:rRNA from 1 species